GGUGUACAAGGUGAAGAUGCCAUAGAAGUCUACUGCUCGGUACUCAUGACUACUUAUGUCAAGUGCAGCAGAAAAACGAUGAACUUGACAUUCAAAAAAAUUUUUUUUUCUGUUUUUUGUGCUUGUUGGAGGGUACUUUUUGGAGAGAAGGCAUGGAGGAUAGGACAGGCUUAUGGGACUGCGCUGGGGGCCAGGAGGGGAGGAAGCAGGUUGACAGGGCUCAGCUCUACAGCUGGGGAGGGCCCCACAGCCUCAGAGAGACCUCCGCGGGGGAGCCAGGACCUGGGGGCGCCCAGCUUCCUCCUGACAUUUCCCCAAAGCCACUGCUGGAUGGCGAGGUGACCCCCCCUCCCGGCCUGGGAUUCAGGAUCCCACUGAGGGUCUGACAGCCAGAACUCCCGGAAAAGGGUGGAGCCAGAAGAGCCCGGCCCCAGCUCCCCCCGCCCGCCCGGUGGUCACAGGAUGCAGGGGGAGAAUCUGGUGGCCAUGGGGUUAGUGGCUCCAGAUGUCACCUCGCUGAGGGAAACCUGACGCUAGUGGGUGAGUGAGGGGGGACCAGGCCGGGGAGGCACCAAAGGGGUCGGCCUCAGAGGGCAGGGGCUGGGGAGGGCAGGCCAGAGACUGAGGCUGGGGCACCCCGCAGGGCCACCAUCCCCAGGAGCCAUGAGAGCCGCGCCUGUCCUGUGGCUGGCCGUCCUGCUGUGCCAGGAGCGAGCGCGGAGCCUGCUGUGCUACACCUGCCCCGGGGCGCCCAGCGACAGCCUGUGCCCGCCCACCCAGUGCCUGAGGCCUGGCAUCUGCUUCGACAGUAACAUAACCACGACCUCGAGCGGUGGAAUGCAGGUGAGGUCAAAGUACAAGGGGUGUGCUCCCUCCUGCAAGGAAGCUAAGGAGACCCUGCAGUGGAUUUUCCGGAUGAGUAGCCUGGACCAGCUGGACCAGCUGGACCCCAGCCUACCCAAGUCUGAACUGCAGAGUUUGACGUGCUGUGAAAAGGACCUCUGUAAUAGGGGGGCGCAGGCCCUGGGCCCCUGCGGGGGGCUGCUGCUCAGCCUAGCACCCGCCUCCCUCUGGGCCCUGCUGUGAGCAGCCCUGACCCCAGCACAGAGGGCAGACUUCCACGCAGCGUGCACACGAAGCAAGCUCGCUGCCCCGCACACUCACGCACUCGCAAGCGCACACGCGGACACUGCAGACCCUGUAGACCCUCAGCCGCUCCCGCCCAACCUCCCUGGCACCCAGUGCCCUGCUAGGCCAACAGGCCUGUCCCCCUUUGCAGACACCAUCAGUUAACCACUGACCCAAGAUGCAGAGCCUGUCGCGCCCUGGCCCUGACCAGACGUGACCUCUAGGACAGCAAAGCCCACAGCCCAGCCCGGGGACGGCCAACACUGUGCCAGCCGGGGCCGGAGAGAAUAAACACUUUCGACAUCGUCCUGUUCUUGGCUUGCAGUUCUGCCCCACGAGGGGAGGGUGGGUGGCGCCUGGGGCCUGCCUGGGAGGGGGACUUCCCUACCUCUUGGUUUUCCCUCAGCCAGGGGGGGCGCCCAUGGCCCCAGGGUCUAGGAGCAGUGGUCAAUUCUGGAGCCCCCCCCUCCCGCGAGGCACAGUAGGGU
rnacentral:lncRNA from 1 species